rnacentral:rRNA from 1 species
UUUUAAUUUGUGCAAAAACAAUUAUAUUUAUUAAAGACAAGAAGACCCUAAGAAUUUAAGAUUUUACAAUUAAAAAGUUUUUUUUUAAAAUCUUGAUUGGGGCGAUCAAAAAAUAUUAAUAACUUUUUAAAAUUUAAAUUGAUCUAUUAUUAAUAGACUAAUGAAUUAAAUACUCUGGGGAUAACAGCGUAAUAAUUUUUGAUA